GGGUUCUGCCAGAAGUAGKUAGCCUAACCGYAAGGRGGGCGMUUACCACGGCAGGGUUCRUGACUGGGGUGAAGUCGUAACAAGGUAGCCGUAGGUGAACCUGCAGAAGGAUCA
rnacentral:rRNA from 1 species